GCCAGCGGUCAUUUUCACAGCUGAAGGUCAGCCACUGGAUAACCACUGCCGCUCAGGGCCCAUACUUUCUGCCCUGGGUGAAGUGAGUUACUCCCACUCAGAGGCAAAGGGGUUAACUGCUCUGUGCAGUAAUUUGGGCUCAGAUCCCGGCUCUGCCCUUUCCUACCCGUCUGGCUUCUGGGAAAGUUACUUGACUUUUCUGGGCCUUAUUUUCCUUGUCUAUAACAUGAGGAUAAUAGUAUCUACUCUGAAGGGUUCUCGGGAGGAUAAAGUGAGUUCAUACAUGGAAAGGCCUGGGAUCAGCAUGUGGAUGGUGGAAAUGUUGUAGAAGACCUGGACUUUAAUACUGUGUAUUACCUCUACAGCUCUAUGAAUGUUCUUCCUUCCUGGCACCUGGAUAUUCCUAAUUAUGCAAAUUUACCAGAGAGACAUAAAAGAAACAGCUGCCUCCAAACUAAGAGGAGGUUGACAGUCAAAAGAACACUUGGACAAGUCUAGUUGGGAUUAACUGCUCCGUGCACCCAAGUCAUUACCGCGAGUGUGGAAGAACUCUGAAUUGGAUGAAAAAGGAGUCGAAGAAAGAUGUGCACUGCUUUAAUGAAGCAGCGCUUUAGGAGAAUUCAGCGGAACUUCUCUGAAAUACGAUAUUUAGCUGUAUCUCAUUCUUCGAUUACAGUUGGCCGAAUGCAUUCCCUGAUGAGUUUAUGUCAGCCACUAUGAAAUCUUAACAAAGAGGUGAACGGAUGGAAGAGGAGUGCCGAAAAGAGGGAAAAAAAAGAAAUUUCUGUAAGUAGUACUGUUUUGUUGUGGCUUUUAAUAAAGACCUUUGUUUAAACACUGUCCCUUCCACUCAGAAUGCCCCCUCCACCUCAGCCACACCCUCACCGCCCGCAGGCCCAGCUGGAACUUCCUGUCCAGCUCCCCACGGCAGCAAGAAUGGCUUCUUCUGUUGACCUUCUGUGACCCCUUCUACAUCUUUCUCAGGCUGCUGAUCACUUCCUGCUUAGCAUUACACUAAUGCA